CUUUCGUCGUGAGCGGUUCGUUCGCUGUUUCGCGCGCGUCUGCGUCUGAAUAUUUUUGAAAAACGGUUGCGUUCAAGUGCAACUGCAUUUGUGCCAAAUCGUUGAGAAUACUGGAAUCGAAUUCGAAAAUUUGCUGAUUCAAAUCGUCGAAGAACGAAAUCAUUUUUUUUGCCCUGCGCGAGUGCUCAAGAAUUCAUAUUAUUUUUUGUGGCAAGCAACAAGUGCGAACCAAAGAAACAGCCCGAAACGUGCUGCAAAUUAUUAAUGUUUUUAUGCGGUUUUCGUCGCAACAACACAGCUGUCAAUACAUCCAACAAAAAAGCAGCAAAACAAAAGUGCAGUGACUCGAAAAAAAGAAGCGAUCGCCUCUAGAAAAAGGAGCGAAUCAAAUACAAUAAAAGAAAGGAGAAUAAAAGAAAAGAGAACAGAACCAAACCGAACAGAACAGAAAAGAAACAAGAACAACUCAUCAACGUCGGCUCAAAAAGGUGAGUCAAGGGCGCGAUGGGAAACUACCUUAAUCUCUGUGGCUAUUAAAUGGAAUUAGCUGGCCGACAAAGUGGCCAUUUUAUACUUUGUCUGUAUUUGUUUACUAAAUUAAAUCCUUUUUAAAUCUGUUUGGCUAUUAGCUGAAAGCAUAACAUAUCAAUUCGAUGAGCAAGUAAUUAAUUUUAUUGUCGUCAUUUUUUUUUGCAUUUGACGACUUUCCCCUUAACGCCUAACGACGCCGGCAGAUGGCGCCACACAGCUAAUCCGACUGCGUUGAGUAAACACCACGGUUAUCUUAAUUAAGCCGAACAGCAACGUGUGUCAACAGUUGUCCGUAGCUCUUGAGUCCAUCUCUAUCUCUAUCUCUCCCUUUCCCCUUUCUCUUUCGCUAUCUUCCACUUUUCACUUGUUGCAGCCAAGCCCACGACAACUGGGUAGCUGCAGUGGAACCUAGCUAACUGGAACUCUUGGAAAAGUGAUAUAUCUGAGUGUGCUUGCAAAUGAACUUGGCAGUAUUCCCAAUUAUUAUUAACUCAAUUGUUAUCACAUUACAAUGAAAUUAUCAUCAUGUAACUUAUCAAUUCAAAGCCAAAUGUUUUUAUAGCUGUUUUUAUCUUGCUUUUAAAGUUUGUAAAACUGUCUUAAAACUUUUUUAUUUAACAUUUAUUUACCCUAGUGUUUCAUCCUAGUGAACGUUGUCUGUAUUUCAGCAGUAAAUGUAGUUAUCACAGCGACCGCAUUACGCACCUGCUUACAUUCUUCUUUCCCGUUAUUCAACCCAAUAUCCGUAACUCCCCUGCAUUUUUGACCCAACGCAUUGGCCACGUUUCGUUGUCGUUUGGCACGUCCAAAUGUUUGCGCAUUUGAAAACUGAUAUUUCCCCCGAACUUGCCUGACCUGCCCCCCCUUUGAAGCCCCUCUCUCCACCUUCCUCGUAGCCAACGCCUCUGUGACACACAUUAAAGACCUUCUUCGUGGGUCUGAAGACCCCCAGCCUUUGGUAUUUUUGAUACGCAUUUGCAUGGACUUGGAUAAGUUUUAGUUAACUACCCAAAGUCAUGUGUGUUGGUUUUCGCGGCAGGGGACAUGGGGUUUCGGGUUCGCUUUGGGUUUGGGCUUGGGUUCGGUUUUAUAGAAUAGAACACACCCAAAAAAAAAAAAAACAAUAUACGCGGGUUUUUUCUGGGUUUUCCUUUACAACAUUGAGACAACAUUGUCAUGGUCUAUUUGGCUUUUGGGUUUUGUUUUUCUAUUCUUUUUUUUUCGCCCAACCUGGUGUAUUCCAAACACUGAAAAUAAAAUAUACUACUCAGGAAAUCUAAUCUAAGACAGUGCGUAAAAACGAAAAAAAUGGUCUUGAUGUGGCAAAAUAAAUGUACAUAUGUAUAUGUAUAUAUAAAGAAUUUAAAAAGCGGUUAGCCUGCAUGUUAAACGAGAUUCCUUCGGUUUUACUUGUUUUGAAAUGAACUGAAUUCAACUGAAUUCCAGUCACGUGCCUAGAAUAAUCGCAUUCUACAUGAGGCUCUCAUAAUUUUCUCUCAGUACAUAAUUGAGCUCGUGACCCGAGCUUCAGUUUGCCAUGGAAUCUGCUCCCCUUCUACCGAAAAACUUUGAAUAUUCCUCCAACUCCGUUCUCCAUUCAAACAUUGUUCCAUGUGUGCCAUUCUCAUUAAUUUGAGAUGUUUCACUUCCCCAACGUUUGUCAUUUCAGUUCGCUGAAGUUCUAAAGAACAUUCCUUCAGCGUUUUUGUACAUUUAAUUCUUUUUUUUGGUUGUGGGUGCGUUAGGCGCAAUGUUUUAAUUGUUUGUCGCGAGCCACGCACUCGGUAAAAAUCCACGGGGGAACCGAAACUGGCGGGAAAUUCAAUUACGAGCCACGCCUGAAAAGCGGGAAAAGGCGACCCAACUAAGCUGGGUCUUACGGGUUUCCCAACAAAAAAAAAAAAAAAAAACACAAAAAAA